rnacentral:rRNA from 1 species
UGGGGAAUAUUGCACAAUGGGGGAAACCCUGAUGCAGCGACGCCGCGUGAACGAAGAAGGUAUUCGUAUCGUAAAGUUCUGUCCUAUGGGAAGAUAAUGACAGUACCAUAGAAGAAAGCUCCGGCUAAAUACGUGCCAGCAGCCGCGGUAAUACGUAUGGAGCGAGCGUUGUCGGAAUUAUUGGGCGUAAAGGGUACGCAGGCGGUUUAAUAAGUCGAAUGUUAAAGAUCGGGGCUCAACCCCGCAAAGCAUUGGAAACUGAUAAACUUGAGUAGUGGAGAGGAAAGUGGAAUUCCUAGUGUAGUGGUGAAAUACGUAGAUAUUAGGAGGAAUACCAGUAGCGAAGGCGACUUUCUGGACACAAACUGACGCUGAGGUACGAAAGCGUGGGGAGCAAACAGG